UAUUAUAAACAAGAACUGAGAAUUUCACACUAUAAAAAAGGAUCAGCCAGCUCAAUCCCACCUGAUUGUGUAUUAACAACGUUUAAUCCUUCAAUGUCCAUCUGCAUCUUUCAACCCAAACCUCAGCUCUAGAAAUGCUAUUUCACAAGUUGAUUGUUGAGCAGUUAAUAUUAUCAAUUCCUCGAUCAUCUCUGCAAUAUGGAUGAUACUGUAAGGUGUCGGCAUUUCGUUAAAAAGUUCCCAACUAGCAAAGAAAUUAAGCUUGUGUAUUAUAAAGAUAAGCAUGCAUACCAAUGGUUCCAAGCAUGAUGAUGUUAAAUUAACAUGAAGCUAUAAUUUCAAGAGCAUUCCCCACACCCGUUAUACCAAUGCAAUGUAAGGCUGUUUCAAUGAUUUAUAUGAAUCAUAAUCAUCUUUAAUAUUCAUAUACUAAAUUUCACAAUUUCCUUUCUGCUUAUUAUGCCUCUUUUACUGGUAUAC